GCUGGGCAUUGUGGUGCAUGCCUGUAAUCCCAGGAACUUGGGAGACUGAGGCAGGAGGAUGGCAAGUUUGAGACUAGCCUUGGCAAUUUAGUGAGACCCCAAGCAACGUAGAGAGACCCUGUUUCAA
rnacentral:sRNA from 1 species